ACACACCGUUACACUGAAAACAACAUGUGCUUUAAUACAUUCUCUGUUAACACACUGAUGCAUAGUUUUGAUUCUUCCCUCUAGUCUCUUUUCUCUUCAUGACAUCUUCACCUGUUGCAGAUAGUCAGAUCAGACCUGCUGGGUCUGGGUCAAUAAUGUGGCCUGUUCAGGAACUGAAAGCUCUCUAACCGAGUGUCGACACAGAGCAUUUAGGACACAUAACUGUGGACAUGGUGAAGAUGCUGGUGUCACAUGUUCAAGUGGAACAUUGACUCAGCAGCAGACCUGAAGCUCAUCCAGGAAAAAACAAAUAUCAACUACAAACUCUGUUACCUUUAAUAUCCCUCAAGUGAUUUUGUCACUUGAGGGAUAUUAAUGAGGAGGAUAUUAAUGAGAAGGAGCCUGCAACCUUGCUGCUCCGGCCACAGGCUCCUUCUCAUCACUCACCCAACAUGGAAACACACUGAAAUGAACGCAGUACACACAAUUUAUAACCCAGCACCAGCACCCCAGGAGAGGGAAUCUGCCCCCAGACCCAGGAGAUGGUUUAAAAAAAUUCUUCCUAUCUGCAGCUGGAGUCUAUGGCAGCACGUGGAAAUAUGCUAUACAAAAAGCUGCCAAACAGGAAGCAAAUGUUCCACAGACUCAGCAUCACUUUGUGGGACUGUUCUAAAGAAAAUAAUAUCAUUUGUCCUCUAGAGGGCACUGCAGUAAGUAGAAACAUGUUUUUGCCUAUCAGUGCUCCUUUCUGCUCAGUUGUUUUUUAUUGUGUGCACCUCUUGAUGUCACCGUCUGUUUACACAGUGUUACUGCCUCACUACAACUUCCCUGCUGUCAGGUACAAUUCAUCUCUAUUUCAGUGUUGUCCCCUUUACUGUCUGGUGAGGCAACACUGGAAAGUCUCAAAUACAGGAUGUUCAAUAAAGAAGCGUU